AUACGGAGGAUGCAAGCGUUAUCCGGAUUUAUUGGGUUUAAAGGGUGCGUAGGCGGAUGAUUAAGCGUGAGGUGAAAUGCCACUGCUCAACAGUGGAACUGCCUCGCGAACUGGUUGUCUUGAAUGCCCCUGCCGUGGGAGGAAUGUGUGGUGUAGCGGUGAAAUGCAUAGAGAUCACACAGAACACCGAUUGCGAAGGCAUCUCACGAAGGGGUGAUUGACGCUGAGGCACGAAAGCGUGGGGAUCAAACAGGAUUAGAUACCCUGGUAGUCCACGCAGUAAACGAUGAUAACUAACCGCUGGGUCGUAGUGAUUCAGUGGCCAAGCGAAAGCGAUAAGUUAUCCACCUGGGGAGUACGACCGCAAGGUUGAAACUCAAAUGAAUUGACGGGG
rnacentral:rRNA from 1 species